rnacentral:lncRNA from 1 species
CCCUGAGAUCAUUAUGAAGGAACAGCACCCAAACAAAAUCUCACUUGGUCCUUCUACCACCAAAUGAUUCAUUUAGGAAAUAGUGACUGAUGUUGUGUCUAGACAGUGGAAGCUAGAUGGUUCACUAGUUAAGAGUGUUAGGCAUCAAGUGAGGAACAUUAGAGUAAAAAUCCUGUCUCAGUCCCUUCCUUGCUGCAGUAUGUUGGAUGUUCCUGCUGUCCAGAGGCCCAGCUUACAGUUUACUGGUUAAUGGGGAAGUCAUUAAGUGAAUCUGGCCUGUUUGGCAGUGACACCUUUAGCCAUUAAUUUUGUCUGACAACAUGAAUUCCAAGGGCAAGAGCUUUAAAGGCAGUCAUCCUGUUUGCUGUAUCCUCUUAUAUGUCCUGGUUUAGUUUGGCACAUGCAAUCAAUAUAAACAGAGAAACAGGAGCACAGCCAACUGACAGCAUUCUCUGCCCUUCUCCAAAAAGAAAUGCACAAAAUCAAGCCAACCACUAUGAAGACCGAUGACACAAGCCUCAGGGAGAAAUUUGAUCAGGAGUGAGUCAAGGUGUUUUCAGAUGUCAGAAGUGGAAAAAUGGAGAUUUAAACCCUGGACUUCAAUCCCCAGAAGUCCUUGCUUUAGUUCCUGAGAUGCUUUGUAACUUCACCUGAGUUCCCACCUGCACCAAGAACAAAUUACUAUUUAAAGGGUCUCCGCCUACGGUUCACUCUCUUCCUACUUCCAUUUCGAAGGAGACGCGGCUCUCCACCUAGCAGGCAAGAUGUGAGUGGUUGUGAAUGGGCUCUCUGGGCCUAGACAUGUGUUUUCUUAUUCUGUAUUCUCUUAAAUUCUUAAUCUUUAAUAAACCUCAUAAAACAUAAUACUUAUAGCA